UACGAAGGGGGCUAGCGUUGCUCGGAAUUACUGGGCGGAAAGCGCACGUAGGCGGCUUUGUAAGUUAGAGGUGAAAGCCCGGGGCUCAACUCCGGAAUUGCCUUUAAGACUGCAUCGCUAGAAUUGUGGAGAGGUAAGUGGAAUUCCGAGUGUAGAGGUGAAAUUCGUAGAUAUUCGGAAGAACACCAGUGGCGAAGGCGACUUACUGGACACAUAUUGACGCUGAGGUGCGAAAGCGUGGGGAGCAAACAGG
rnacentral:rRNA from 1 species